UGUUCUCACAAACUAUAUGGGUUGCAAAACCCCUAUGGGGCGUGGAUUUGGGCAUUUUUGCUAUGGUGCCUUUGUGCAACAUGGCAAUUGCCUUAAAAUGAUUGCGUGUAUGCCCCAAUUGGUAGUAAUUGGUUUACCCUCAAUGCAACAGUCAAAUGAAACAUUUUGGGGGACCUUUUGUGAACAUUGGACUUGGAAUACACUUCCAUUCUAUACAGCAACCGUCUCUAGUAUUGAGAUUGUUUCUGAA
rnacentral:misc_RNA from 1 species